CUGGGAGAGGGAUGUUUGCUCA
rnacentral:miRNA from 17 species